rnacentral:rRNA from 1 species
AUACGGAGGAUGCGAGCGUUAUCCGGAUUUAUUGGGUUUAAAGGGUGCGCAGGCGGGCGAUUAAGUCAGCGGUGAAAGGCUCGGGCUCAACCGGAGCAGUGCCGUUGAUACUGGUUGUCUUGAAUGCGGUCAAGGCCGGCGGAAUGUGGCGUGUAGCGGUGAAAUGCAUAGAUAUGCCACAGAACACCGAUAGCGAAGGCGGCUGGCCGGGCCUGCAUUGACGCUGAGGCACGAAAGCGUGGGGAUCGAACAGGAUUAGAUACCCUGGUAGUCCACGCUGUAAACGAUGGACACUCGUUGUCGGCGACAGACAGUCGGCGGCCAAGCGAAAGUGAUAAGUGUCCCACCUGGGGAGUACGGUCGCAAGGCUGAAACUCAAAUGAAUUGACGGGG